rnacentral:ncRNA from 1 species
CGCAAGGGGUUGACCGCGAUCGCCCCGUGAGGCUUUGGCCGAAGCAUCGCGUCUCCGAACCUCGAACAGAGGGAGGGACGUUCAUG